rnacentral:rRNA from 1 species
GAUGAACGCUGGCGGCGUGCCUAAUACAUGCAAGUCGAGCGAACGGACGAGAAGUUUGCUUCUCUGAUUUUAGCGGCGGACGGGUGAGUACCACGUGGAUAACCUACCUAUAAGACUGGGUUAACUCCGGGAAACCGGAGCUAAUACCGGAUAAUAUUUUGAACCGCAUGGUUCAAAAGUGAAAGACGGUCUUGCUGUCACUUAUAGAUGGAUCCGCGCUGCAUUAGCUAGUUGGUAAGGUAACGGCUUACCAAGGCAACGAUGCAUAGCCGACCUGAGAGGGUGAUCGGCCACACUGGAACUGAGACACGGUCCAGACUCCUACGGGAGGCAGCAGUAGGGAAUCUUCCGCAAUGGGCGAAAGCCUGACGGAGCAACGCCGCGUGAGUGAUGAAGGUCUUCGGAUCGUAAAACUCUGUUAUUAGGGAAGAACAUAUGUGUAAGUAACUGUGCACAUCUUGACGGUACCUAAUCAGAAAGCCACGGCUAACUACGUG